AGAACCUGGCAGGGGAAAUACCAUGAUCACCAGGCCUCUUGUGGUAAGAAGUGGUUUUCCAGGGGUGAGGCUUGUCCCUUGCACUCUGGGUUUGCUGACCUCUGAGAGUUUCUCCAGAUGCAGGAGACUCAACUGCACAAUUCUGCAGUAAUGAGGGAUUUGCUUUCUUGCCUUCCCCCU
rnacentral:snRNA from 1 species